ACUAUAGCACUGAGGUUCCACCUCUUCCCAUUCCGAACAGAGAAGUUAAGCUCAGUCACGCCGAUGGUACUGCGUAACAGUGGGAGAGUAGGUAGUCGCCGUUU
rnacentral:rRNA from 1 species